rnacentral:rRNA from 1 species
GACGAACGCUGGCGGCGUGCUUAACACAUGCAAGUCGAACGGAAAGGCCCUGCUUUUGUGGGGUGCUCGUGUGGCGAACGGGUGAGUAACACGUGAGUAACCUGCCCUUGACUUUGGGAUAACUUCAGGAAACUGGGGCUAAUACCCGAUAGGAGCUCCUGCUGCAUGGGGGGGGUUGGAAAGUUUCGGCGGUUGGGGAUGGACUCGCGGCUUAUCAGCUUGUUGGGGGGGUAGUGGCUUACCAAGGCUUUGACGGGUAGCCGGCCUGAGAGGGUGACCGGCCACAUUGGGACUGAGAUACGGCCCAGACUCCUACGGGAGGCAGCAGUGGGGAAUAUUGCACAAUGGGCGGAAGCCUGAUGCAGCAACGCCGCGUGCGGGAUGACGGCCUUCGGGUUGUAAACCGCUUUCGCAUGUGACGAAGCGUGAGUGACGGUAAUGGGUAAAGAAGCACCGGCUAACUACGUG